GCUAGGCUGACAUAAUACUUAUUAGUUGUUCUGCCUACAUAAAACCUUUCUUUAUUCUCCCUCCUUUUUUUUUUUUGUAAAAAUUUCUUUGGAUGAAAAUAAUGUUCAAAGAAUUGAGUUUUUGGUUAAGCUGUUGGGCCACAGAGAGAAAUGGCUUAUCUGAAAACUUAUCUAGGAAAAAACAAGGGCUUUUUUUUGGCAUUUAAAACAUAAUUUUCAAAAUAUAUAGGCUGCUCUGUAGAUAUGUGUAAUUUAUGCUUUCAAAAUUCAUAGUAGUGCCUGUAUCUUAUGAAAGUUCAUCUGCUUCAGUCAUAUCAAACAUGCAGUUGAAAGACAGCUGCUGUGAAAAUGACAUGAGUUCGCUUUAAGGGUGUAUCGAUAGCAGUUAAGUGUAGCAGUUAUUUGAGGGCACCACCUAAGAUGACUGCUGCUAAGCAUAAGAUUAAGACAGGAGGGCAGGUCGGAGUCUAGUACACUUUAUUCUUCUGCUAGAAAUGAGCUCCGUAGGUGUUUACGUUAAGUCCUAAACUAUUUAAGAGUACUAAAGAAAUUUUCAAUGAAGCCUCUUGGACAAGGAGGCCCGAGGAAAUUGUUCU
rnacentral:lncRNA from 1 species